GCGCGGAGCGGACCUGGGGGCUGGGGCGCUCUCGGAGUCGGCGCUUCGGGAGCCGGGCCGGAGCCGGGGCCGCCGGGCGCGGCCAGGUGCGCCGGGCGCGGGGCAGCCGCUUGCCCACGCUGCGCUCCCCGGCCAGCCGGCGGCGGGGCGCACCUACCCGUCCGCGAGGAAGGAGGGGCGCUGGGUGCCCUCGCCGCGGACGCGCUCUGUCAACCCGCCAGGGCCGCGGGGCGCCGGGCAGCCCGCACGCCGGGAGAUCCCAGCGCGGUUCCAGCAAGGCGCAGCGCGGCGGAGAGCAGCAGGAGCACCGAGGAGGGAGGCGGGGUGGGCGCGGGUUCCCCGGGGACGGGCGCGACUAACUUGAAAAACAGCAACCGAAACAGCGAGUUUUCCACGUUUCGUACUUGAUCUGCGGUCAGGUCUUACCUCUCUCAUGCGGUUUGAAGAAAAGGCGGAGUUCGGGAAACAAACCUGGAUAAACCCUCCAGAACAUUCCCCUCCCCCUGCGGAGGUGGCCAUGCCGUAUUUCUGCCUGGCAUUCCCAGAUUCAACUGCCAUCACUGAAUUCCUCAAGCACAGAAACAGUGGCUUCCCUGAACCUGGACCCUGCCCGCAAGCCUGGCACAGAGUUGAACCUGGCCGCGCCCAGUAAAUCUUUGCAGGCUUAUGAAUAAAUGCUCUUCCUGGGAAGGCACAUUUAGACUCA